rnacentral:rRNA from 1 species
UACGGGGGGGGGCAAGCGUUGUUCGGAAUUACUGGGCGUAAAGGGCUCGUAGGUUGCCAACUAAGUCGGACGUGAAAUCCCUCAGCUUAACUGGGGAACUGCGUCCGAUACUGGAUGGCUUGAGUUUGGGAGAGGGAUGCGGAAUUCCAGGUGUAGCGGUGAAAUGCGUAGAUAUCUGGAGGAACACCCGUGGCGAAGGCGGCUCUCUGGAACGCAACUGACGCUGAGACGCGAAAGCGUGGGGAGCAACAGG